rfam:Myceliophthora thermophila ATCC 42464 chromosome 2, complete sequence.
GGCUGGAUGGCCGAGUGGUCUAAGGCGGUAGACUCAAGAAUUUCAUGUUCUUCCCCACUGAGUGGGGUGCAUUCUACUCUCGCAAGAGGCGCGCGUUCGAAUCGCGCUCCAGUCA